rnacentral:rRNA from 1 species
GGCUGACGCCUGCCCGGUGCUGGAAGGUUAAGAGGAGUGCUUAGCUUCGGCGAAGGUACGAAUUGAAGCCCCAGUAAACGGCGGCCGUAACUAUAACGGUCCUAAGGUAGCGAAAUUCCUUGUCGGGGAAGUUCCGACCCGCACGAAAGGCGCAACGAUCUGGGCACUGUCUCAACGAGAGACUCGGUGAAAUUAUAGUACCUGUGAAGAUGCAGGUUACCCGCGACAGGACGGAAAGACCCCGUGGAGCUUUACUGCAACCUGAUAUGGAAUGUUUGUACCGCAGGUUACCCGCGACAGGACGAAAGGACCCCGGGGGGCUUUACGCGAACCUGUGAUGGAUUGUUUGUCCGGCUUGUGCGGGAUGGGUGGG